AAGAAAGAAAGAAAGAAAGAAAGAGAAAGAAAGAAAGAAAAGAAAGAGAAAAGAGCUAUGCAGGACCAUACUCCGUAGACAAGCACAGACGAGAUCCAGGAUUCAACCCAAGGACUUUUACUUAAAAUGGUUUUGUCACCAAACAAGACAUAUGAAGUAACAGCACAGGAGCAGUUCACUCAACUAUGUUCCCACCUAGAAAUUAAGAACUUCACCACUAUGGACAUGCUUCAAGGGCUCCUCCCUGGUCCAACCCAACCAGUAACCACAGAGCUUAGAUGCCUAAAGAUAGGGAGCACAGUCGUUCACCUCUUCACAAGGAACAGAAAAGAAAAUGGACAAUGCUGUGCUUCUGAGAACCAGCUGUUCACGUGUUUUCCCAGUGGCAUGUUCAGAAACUUCAUGUUGGCGGUUUGAACAUGGCCAUGGAGAGAAUAUUUACACCAUAGAACUGGAAAAUGCCUUCAAAUGAGGUUUUCCACAGACACUAUUGCCCCUUGACCUAUAAAUAAAGACAGAUUCCAGCAUAUCUUAAAGAAAGAAGUAUACUCUGACCCUGGAAGAGAAGACCAAACUAAUGUCUUACAUAAAAUUGGGCUAAUAUGUAAAAUUGCAUAAGCCAUAAGUGAGGGUGAAUUCUAAGCCGGCAAAAAGACAGGGGACUUAGGUCAGGCUAAAUGCUCCUAUGUGGUUGCACUUAACACAGGAUUCUCGUGUAUUGGAUGUGCCUGGUUGAACAGUUAAAAGUAUUUGGAAGACAGUGCAUGGUUGGUUGAUUGGAAAUUGCACUCAGUGGAGCUCUAAACUAAAUUCAGUGUACAAUCGGCAAAAUUUAGAAUGUAAGAAACUGUAUAGGUAAAAUGGCCUGGAUUCUUUAGCACAUAACUAGAGGAAAAAGAAAGAAAUUGAAGGGGAAUAUAUGGAUUUGAAAAAAUUAAAAGACAAUAAAAUAAAAAAAUGGACAAGAUGCACACUUGAGGAUGCUAAAACUCUGAAGAAACACAAGAAGUGAUUGCUAUAAAAAUCAGGGUAGUAGUUGGCUUUCAUGAGGAGAAAGAAGAUUGUGAUUGGAGGGAAGUACAUGAAGAGCCAACUUGCCUCCUUUUCUUGUGAGUCAGUGAUUCUUGACUGACUUAUAAACUUAGGCAAUUUCCAGAGAGAGCUUUCCAUUAACCUAAUACCUUAUGAAGCAUGAAGCAAUUUUAAGUCUGGCCAUAAGAGGUCAGUAUAACCUUGCUUAUUUAAACUAUAUGUAAGAUGGUGGUGGCAAUGAGAGAAAUCUGCCCUCGAGGCAGAGCACUUUUUAGUUUUUUGGGUGGAAUUAUUUCUUUUAUAUCUUUGAAGAUUGAGAAAGCCAACUUUCCUUUUCCAAGAAGAAUUUUGCCUAGAUCAGCCUAAACAGGCUCUGUUCAAUCUGCGGCUAUUCAUUUUUAAAUGACUGUGUGUAAAUCAGAGAAAUCUAAAAUUGAGUGUCAGUUUGAUCUACACACUAGGAAAGAUUAGUUAACAUUUGAAGGGUCACUAUCAGAAAUAUACACUCCAUAAGUGGUUAAUCACUAUUUGAAAGACUCUUCAGCAAUACACAUUAGAGAAAUGGCUGAUGGCAAUAUUUCAAGUAUUGUUAUUUAAACUGCAAUUGAGUUUGUUAAUUAGCAUAAAUGAUAUUUAAAACAAUAUUUCCUUGGAGAAUUGAUUGUAUCAUAAGUGAACAACACCCAAGAGAUCUUGCUGCUCGGUUAUAGACACCACUAGUUAUUUUCACUCCCUAGAGAAGCUUUACAAAGAAAUUUAUUUUCCACCCAAACAGCAGAAUU